UACGAAGGGAGCUAGCGUUGUUCGGAAUCACUGGGCGUAAAGCGCACGUAGGCGGUCUUGUAAGUCGGGUGUGAAAGCCCGGGGCUUAACCCCGGAAGUGCACUCGAAACUGCAAGGCUUGAGUAUGGAAGAGGGUCUCGGAAUUCCCGGUGUAGAGGUGAAAUUCGUAGAUAUCGGGAGGAACACCAGUGGCGAAGGCGGAGACCUGGGCCAAUACUGACGCUGAGGUGCGAAAGCGUGGGGAGCAAACAGG
rnacentral:rRNA from 1 species